UACGGAGGGUGCAAGCGUUAUCCGGAUUCACUGGGUUUAAAGGGUGCGUAGGUGGGUUGGUAAGUCAGUGGUGAAAUCCCCGAGCUUAACUUGGGAACUGCCAUUGAUACUAUCAGUCUUGAAUACCGUGGAGGUCAGCGGAAUAUGUCAUGUAGCGGUGAAAUGCUUAGAUAUGACAUAGAACACCAAUUGCGAAGGCAGCUGGCUACACGAAUAUUGACACUGAGGCACGAAAGCGUGUGGAUCAAACAGG
rnacentral:rRNA from 1 species